CCUAUUAGAAAUCUAACCCUGCAUCUUACAUGAAACAAAGUCCGGAGCAAUUGUUGCAGGAGCAAAUGUCUUGUCACCACUGGAAGAUGGACUCGACAAACUCAGUCAAAGGUCAAGAAAAUUAUCAGAAAUAUGCUGUGAGAUCCUGUGCUUUACCUCAUGGCUGAGAGGAGGCUUACACAGCUGAGAGAUGACAGUGCCAUUUAAAUCAUAUCACUCGUUGUACAACAUGGAUACACCCCCUUUCAAGGAAAUUCUACCAGAGCUAAAGAUGUGAUGCCAAUCUUGCCAUCUUUAUCUGCACUGAAUGUCUGGUGUGAUCAUUUGUUGGUACAUACAUGGACAUGAUGUAUAAUCCACCUGUAUAGAAAGACCACCUUUUCAGAUAGACCAAUUGUUAUAUCCUUUGAAACAUACAACAAAGGAACCUGUUUUGUAAAUACCUCUUUUUCUUAUCUCUGAGAGGGACUGGUAUUUUGACACCAGACAUUAUCCAUGCUCUGUUUUGGUGCUCCUCUGAUGUACAUAAUAUGGAAAUUUCCACCAUGUAAAUCAAAUUGAAUGAACCAAAUGCCAGUUUAAAAGACUAACUGCAUUGAGCUACUUAUGAACCAGGAUGGGAAAUGGUUUUUGUCUUACCUGCAUAGGAGAGUGAGACUAUAGGCGCCACUUUUCUGGUGGCUGCAGAGUCAACACUAAAUUUUAACCUAAGGUUAAGUUUUUGAAUUGACAGCAUAACUUAGAAAGUAUAUGGACGUAGUUCAUGAA